rnacentral:rRNA from 1 species
GAUGAACGCUGGCUACAGGCUUAACACAUGCAAGUCGUGGGGAAACGGCAUUAUGUGCUUGCACAUUCUGGACGUCGACCGGCGCACGGGUGAGUAUCGCGUAUCCAACCUGCCCCUUACUUGGGGAUACCCCGUUGAAAGACGGCCUAAUACCCGAUGUGUUUCAUUGACGGCAUCCGAUAUGAAACAAAGGUUUUUCCGGUAAGGGAUGGGGAUGCGUCUGAUUAGCUAGUUGGCGGGGCAACGGCCCACCAAGGCGACGAUCAGUAGGGGUUCUGAGAGGAAGGUCCCCCACAUUGGAACUGAGACACGGUCCAAACUCCUACGGGAGGCAGCAGUGAGGAAUAUUGGUCAAUGGACGCAAGUCUGAACCAGCCAAGUAGCGUGCAGGAUGACGGCCCUAUGGGUUGUAAACUGCUUUUAUGUGGGAAUAAAUUGGCGCACGUGUGCGCCAUUGCAUGUACCUCAUGAAUAAGGACCGGCA